rnacentral:rRNA from 1 species
AACAAGGUCUCCGUUGGUGAACCAGCGGAGGGAUCAUUAUCGAGUUAUUCAACUCCCAAACCCUAUGUGAACUUACCACUUGUUGCUUCGGCGCGCGCUUCGGCGCCGCCGAGGACACUUAAACUCUUUGUUUUUAUAAGCAUUUCUGAGUGGCCGAAAGGCAAAAAUACAAAUGAAUCAAAACUUUCAACAACGGAUCUCUUGGUUCUGGCAUCGAUGAAGAACGCAGCGAAAUGCGAUAAGUAAUGUGAAUUGCAGAAUUCAGUGAAUCAUCGAAUCUUUGAACGCACAUUGCGCCCGCCAGCAUUCUGGCGGGCAUGCCUGUUCGAGCGUCAUUUCAACCCUCGAGCCCGACUCUUUUGAGGACGGCUCGGCGUUGGGGGACGGCAGACUCCCCCUGGCAUCUCGCCGGGGACGCCGCCCCCGAAAUCUAGUGGCGGCCCUCCGAGGCGACCUCUGCGUAGUAACUUGUUCUCGCACCGGAAAGCUCAGAGCGGCCACGCCGUAAAACCCCAACUUUUUUCAGGUUGACCUCGAAUCAGGUAGGACUACCCGCUGAACUUAAGCAUAUCAAUA